CCGACGGUGAGGGGCGAAAGCUGGGGAGCAAACCGGAUUAGAUACCCGGGUAGUCCCAGCUGUAAACGAUGCGCGUUAGGUGUAUCAGUGACCACGAGUCACUGAGGUGCCGAAGAGAAAUCGUGAAACGUGCCGCCUGGGAAGUACGGUCGCAAGGCUGAAACUUAAAGGAAUUGGCGGGGGAGCACCACAACAGGUGGAGCCUGCGGUUUAAUCGGACUCAACGCCGGAAAUCUCACCAGAUAAGACAGCUGAAUGAUAGUCGGGCUGAAGACUCUACUUGACUAGCUGAGAGGAGGUGCAUGGCCGUCGUCAGUUCGUACUGUGAAGCAUCCUGUUAAGUCAGGCAACGAGCGAGACCCACGCCAACAGUUGCUA
rnacentral:rRNA from 1 species